rnacentral:misc_RNA from 1 species
UACCUACCCCACCCACAUCGAAAUCUGG